rnacentral:snoRNA from 1 species
UCCCUCUCGGGGUCGUACCUGGAGAGGUUCCAGUCCUCUACCAGUCUUGACUAUAGGAGGGAGAGUCAAGCAGAGACAUAUCCAUUCCUAGCUUGGGCAGUGGCUAGCGAGUGGAAGGCAACCUGCUACAAGU